UAAAAAAAAUUCACGGUUCUGAUUACCGCAAUCGUUACGCUAUGGCCUUUACACUCCGCAACCGCAACUGCUCCACUACCGCCGUUACGGCGACCACAACCGCUUUUCAGAACCUUGCUCAUACAUGUCUUCAAUUUCUUCUAUGCUCACCAAUUAUGUUUGCACAAACUUUAUGUGAGACUUAUGUAAAAUGUACCUCCAACUGAACUUUCUUGGUUGCUUGUUACAUAUUCUAAUGCAGUUAGUUGUGUUCUUAUCCCAUGAAUUUAAUUUGAAAGUUUAAUUGAAAUCAAGGUUGUUAAAUUUAUGUUCUGUCAUAAUUUGUUAAAGUGAUUUCAUAUUGCAUGUACUGUGGAGAUGAAUAACUAUUGCAGGCUUUCUUGUAUGAUACUCACCAAGCUAAUGCAUUCGGGAUGUUAUUCAACAGCUUGUGCAUCUAUGCAUUUAGCUUCAUUUAAUUUUCUUGUUUAUUCUUGAUCCUCAACCUCGGCAAGUCAAUAAAUUUUAUGUAUACAAAUGUCUAGAACUACUCACUCAGGAAUGGAAGGAAGCAAGAAAAUUGGUUUCCAACCUUUACAAGUAUAAAGAUGCAAAAUCUGGCUUUUGUUGGCAGCAUAUCAUUUGUUUUUGGUAAAAUAACGAAAAUGGAAUUCAGAAAACGGUGAGCUAAAAUUGGUAAUUUGGACAUAGUUGCCACUAAUAUGAAUCUAGCAAGUAGCCGUUCUCAUGGUGUGUUUACAUGCAUCAUUGAAAGUAAGGUCAGCAGUCUUGUUGUUUUUGUUAUUUCAGUGGCUUUUAUUUGGGUGUUGGGAUUCUAAUCGGUGGUUCAUGUUUAGUGGGAAUCCCAAGGGGUAACUCGUCACCUGUUCGCUCGACUUAAUCUUGUAGAUUUAGCAGGCUCUGAAAGGCAGAAGAGUUCUAGUGCUAAAGGUAUGAGCUGCUGUCUUAUUUUAUUGGGAGGGAGUAUUUUAUCCAUGGUUAUAAUCCAAUAUAUGCUCUUUCUACUGAUGUUGUUUCAAGCUUGGUUGCUCUAAGAAAGGAAGCUUCUGAAGACGAAAUCCAAGAUAUUAGGAAUUUUCUAAUAUAAAGAUAUGGGUAGCAUAAGCUGGGUGUUUAUGCAAUUGAAUCAACCCAUGAUGGUGCACUCGCAAGAAGAUAUUUGGGUAAAUUUUGUACCUUUAGAACUUAAAGAGUUUUUUUUUUUUUUUUUUUUUUUGGGG